rnacentral:rRNA from 1 species
GACGAACGCUGGCGGCGUGCUUAACACAUGCAAGUCGAACGGUAAGGCCCUUCGGGGUACACGAGCGGCGAACGGGUGAGUAACACGUGGGUGAUCUGCCCUGCACUUUGGGAUAAGCCUGGGAAACUGGGUCUAAUACCGAAUACACCCUGCUGGUCGCAUGGCCUGGUGGGGGAAAGCUUUUGCGGUGUGGGAUGGGCCCGCGGCCUAUCGGCUUGUUGGUGGGGUGAUGGCCUACCAAGGCGACGACGGGUAGCCGGCCUGAGAGGGUGUCCGGCCACACUGGGACUGAGAUACGGCCCAGACUCCUACGGGAGGCAGCAGUGGGGAAUAUUGCACAAUGGGCGCAAGCCUGAUGCAGCGACGCCGCGUGAGGGAUGACGGCCUUCGGGUUGUAAACCUCUUUCAAUAGGGACGAAGCGCAAGUGACGGUACCUAUAGAAGAAGCACCGGCCAACUACGUGCCAGCAGCCGCGGUAAUACGUAGGGUGCGAGCGUUGUCCGGAAUUACUGGGCGUAAAGAGCUCGUAGGUGGUUUGUCGCGUUGUUCGUGAAAACUCACAGCUUAACUGUGGGCGUGCGGGCGAUACGGGCAGACUGGAGUACUGCAGGGGAGACUGGAAUUCCUGGUGUAGCGGUGGAAUGCGCAGAUAUCAGGAGGAACACCGGUGGCGAAGGCGGGUCUCUGGGCAGUAACUGACGCUGAGGAGCGAAAGCGUGGGGAGCGAACAGGAUUAGAUACCCUGGUAGUCCACGCCGUAAACGGUGGGUACUAGGUGUGGGUUUCCUUCCUUGGGAUCCGUGCCGUAGCUAACGCAUUAAGUACCCCGCCUGGGGAGUACGGCCGCAAGGCUAAAACUCAAAGAAAUUGACGGGGGCCCGCACAAGCGGCGGAGCAUGUGGAUUAAUUCGAUGCAACGCGAAGAACCUUACCUGGGUUUGACAUGCACAGGACGCCGGCAGAGAUGUCGGUUCCCUUGUGGCCUGUGUGCAGGUGGUGCAUGGCUGUCGUCAGCUCGUGUCGUGAGAUGUUGGGUUAAGUCCCGCAACGAGCGCAACCCUUGUCUCAUGUUGCCAGCACGUUAUGGUGGGGACUCGUGAGAGACUGCCGGGGUCAACUCGGAGGAGGGUGGGGAUGACGUCAAGUCAUCAUGCCCCUUAUGUCCAGGGCUUCACACAUGCUACAAUGGCCGGUACAAAGGGCUGCGAUGCCGUGAGGUGGAGCGAAUCCUUUCAAAGCCGGUCUCAGUUCGGAUCGGGGUCUGCAACUCGACCCCGUGAAGUCGGAGUCGCUAGUAAUCGCAGAUCAGCAACGCUGCGGUGAAUACGUUCCCGGGCCU